AGCGCGAAAAUCGGACUGUCGAUGGGA
rnacentral:sRNA from 1 species